rnacentral:rRNA from 1 species
CCUACGGGUGGCAGCAGUGAGGAAUAUUGGUCAAUGGGCGCGAGCCUGAACCAGCAAUGUCGCGUGAAGGAUGACUGCCCUACGGGUUGUAAACUUCUUUUAUAAGGGAAUAAAGUGUGCCACGUCUGCCAUUUUAUAUGUACUUUAUGAAUAAGGAUCGGCUAACUUCGUGCCAGCAGCCGCGGUAAUACGGAGGAUCCGAGCGUUUUCCGGAUUUAUUGGGUUUAAAGGGAGCGUAGAUGGGAUGUUAAGUCAGUUGUGAAAGUUUGCGGCUCAACCGUGAAAUUGCAAUUGAUACUGGCAGUCUUGAGUACAGGAGAGGUAGGCGGAAUUCGUUGUGUAGCGGUGAAAUGCUUAGAUAUCACGAAGAACUCCGAUUGCGAAGGCAGUUUACUAAACUGCAACUGACAUUGAGGCUCGAAAGUGUGGGUAUCAAACAGGAUUAGAUACCCCUGUAGUC